UACGUAGGGUGCGAGCGUUGUCCGGAAUUACUGGGCGUAAAGAGCUCGUAGGUGGUUUGUCGCGUUGUUCGUGAAAUCUCACGGCUUAACUGUGAGCGUGCGGGCGAUACGGGCAGACUGGAGUACUGCAGGGGAGACUGGAAUUCCUGGUGUAGCGGUGGAAUGCGCAGAUAUCAGGAGGAACACCGGUGGCGAAGGCGGGUCUCUGGGCAGUAACUGACGCUGAGGAGCGAAAAGCGUGGGGAGCGAACAGG
rnacentral:rRNA from 1 species